UACGUAGGGUGCAAGCGUUAAUCGGAAUUACUGGGCGUAAAGCGUGCGCAGGCGGUUAUGUAAGACAGUUGUGAAAUCCCCGGGCUCAACCUGGGAACUGCAUCUGUGACUGCAUAGCUAGAGUACGGUAGAGGGGGAUGGAAUUCCGCGUGUAGCAGUGAAAUGCGUAGAUAUGCGGGAGGAACACCGAUGGCGAAGGCAAUCCCCUGGACCUGUACUGACGCUCAUGCACGAAAGCGUGGGGAGCCAAACGAGG
rnacentral:rRNA from 1 species